rnacentral:rRNA from 1 species
UACGUAGGGGGCUAGCGUUGUCCGGAAUCAUUGGGCGUAAAGAGCGUGUAGGCGGCCCGGUAAGUCCGCUGUGAAAGUCGGGGGCUCAACCCUCGAAUGCCGGUGGAUACUGUCGGGCUAGAGUCCGGAAGAGGAGAAUGGAAUUCCCGGUGUAGCGGUGAAAUGCGCAGAUAUCGGGAAGAACACCCGUGGCGAAGGCGGUUCUCUGGGACGGUACUGACGCUGAGACGCGAAAGCGUGGGGAGCGAACAGG